UCCCUGGUGGCUCAGAGGGUAAAGCGUCUGCCUGCAAUGCGGGAGACCUGGGUUCGAUCCCUGGGUUGGGAA
rfam:TPA: Bos taurus chromosome 6, whole genome shotgun sequence.